rnacentral:lncRNA from 10 species
UAUAAUAGACAUUGCCUAAUUACAUUGCAAAAUAGCUGGUACAAUGUACACGCCUCAGAAAAAACAAUGCCUUUUCAGUAAAAGUAGAUGAUAUUACACUCUUUUUUAAAAAGUAGCAGUUAUUUAUCACAAUUUUCUAAUUUAUGAUCCCGGAUUCACGACUGGUUAGGGUAGUAAAUAUUUAUGGGAAGAGCUAGGUGUUUUCCAACACGGAAAAGUGUGAUCAUUGGCAAUGAACAGGGAAAUAAGACAUAAUUAAACCAGAGUAUGAGCCACAAUACAUCUGUUUUUGAUGGAGCAGUUGAACAGGAAAUCUAGUUGUCAGUGCAGACAGUUGAGAUCAGUGCUCUACAAUACAUUAAUGGAAAAUUCCUAGAGUAGCUUCGUUCUGGUUUCCUCAUUAAAAAAAUGAUAUUGGCAAAGAGGCUUAUGUUUAUAGUUUUUCAUUAUAAGUGAAAAAAUGUUAGGCUUUUCUGUAUCUGGACAUCACUCAUGUUUCCCUUGGUAUUAAAAUGGAUAAUGAAGACUAUAUUUAUAUUUUUUAUUGUCUGACUCACCUACUGGGCCACAAUCUCGAUGACAGUGAUCUUUAUCUUCAGUCUCUGGAGGAAUACAGCAGCAGGUUAUUUAAUUUCUAUGUGCGUGGUUUUGGGGAUUCCUUUUGGAGUCGAUUUCCAAUUUUAUUCCACUGUGGUCUGAGAGAGUACUUGCUAUAAUUUCGAUUUUCUUAAAUGUGUUGAGACUUUUUUUGUGGCCUAUCAUAUGGUCUACCUUGGAGAAUGUUCCACGUGCUGAUGAAGAGAAUGUAUACUCUGCAGUUAUUGGGUAGAAUGUUCUGUAAAUAUUUGGUAAGUACAUUUGUUGUAGGGUAUAGUUUAAGUCCAUUCUUUCUUUGUUAACUUUCUGUCUUGAUGAGCUGUCUAUUGCUGUCAGUGGAGUACUGAAGUCCCCCACUAUUCCAUUGCUCUCUAUCUCAUUUUUUAGGUCUAGUAGUAAUUAUUUUACAAAUUUGGUAGCUCCAGUGUUAGGUGCAUAUAUAUUUAGAAUUGUGAUAUUUUCCUGUUUGACAAGUCCUUUUAUAAUUGUAUAAUGUCCCUCUUUGUCUUUUAAACUGCUGUUGCUUUAAAGUCUGUUUUGUUUGAUAUAAGAAUAGUACUCCUGCUGGCUUUUGGUGUCCAUUUGCAUGGAAUAUCUUUUUCCACCUUUUUAUCUUAAGUUUAUGUGAGUCCUUAUGUGUCAGGUUAUUCUCUUGAAGACAGCCGAUACUUGGUGAGUUCUGCCAUUCUGUAUCUUUUAAGUGGAGCAUUUAGACCAUUUACAUUCAAAAUUCAUAUUGAGAUAUGAGGUAUUAUUCUAUUCAUCAUGCUAUUUGUUGCCUGAAUACUUUUUUUAUUUCAUUGUGUUAUGUUUUACAGGUCCUGUGAGAUUUAUGCUUUAAGGAGAUUCCACUUUGGUGUAUUUUGAGGGUUUGUUUCAAGAUGUAGAACUCCUUUCAGCAGUUCUUGUAGUGCUGGCUUGGUAGUGGCGAAUUCUCUCAGCAUUUGUUUGUCUGAAAAAGACUGCAUCUUUCCUUCAUUUAUGAAGCUUAGUUUCACUGGAUACGCAAUUCUUGGCUGAUAAUUGUUUUGUUUAAGGAGGCCAAAGAUAGGACUCCAAUCCCUUCUGGCUUGGAGGGUUUCUACUGAGAAAACUGCUCUUAAUCUGAUAGGCUUUUCUGUAUAGGUUACCUGAUGCUUUUGCCUCACAGCUCUUAAAAUUCUUUCCUUUGUCUUUAAGUAACUUGAUGACUGUGUAGUUAGGUGUUGAUCUUUUUGUGAUGAAUUUUCCAGGUGUUCUUUGAGCUUCUUGUAUUUGAAUGUCUAAAUCUCUAGCAAGGCCAGGGAACUUUUCCUCAAUUAUUUCCUUGAAUAUGUCUGUCAAACUUUCAGAUUUCUCUUUUUCCUCAGGAACACCAAUUAUUCUUAGGUUUGGACAUUUACCAUAAUCCCAAACUUUUUGGCGGCUUUAUUCCUUUUUUAAAAUUCUUUUUUCUCUGUCAGAUUGGAUUAAUUUGAAAGCCUUGUCUUCAAGCUCUGAAAUUCUUUCUUCUACUUGUUUGAUUCUGUUGCUGAGACUUUCCAGUGCAUUUUGCAUUCCUCUAAGUGUAUCCUCGAUUUUCAGAAGUUGUGACUGUUUUUUAUUUACGUUAUUUUAUUGGAGAUUUUUCCAUUCAUAUCCUGUAUCUUUUUUUUUUUUAAUUUCUUUAAGUUGGACUUCACCUUUCUCUGGUGCCUUCUUGAUGGGCUUAAUAAUCAACCUUUUGAAUUCUUUUUCUGGUAAUUCAGAGGCUUUGUCUUGGUUUGGAUCCAUUGCUGGUGAGCUAGUGUGAUCUAACAGAGGUGCUAAAGAACCUUGUCUUGUCAUAUUACCAGAAUUUUUUCUGGUUCCUUCUC